GGGGAGUUAGCUCAGAUUGGUUAGAGCGCCGGCCUGUCACGUCGGAGGUCGCGGGUUCGAUCCCCGUACUUCCCGCCA
rnacentral:tRNA from 1 species